rnacentral:lncRNA from 1 species
CAAGCAGCCCUGGACACAUGGUAGUAAUGCACAAAGAAAAGUAAACAUUUAUUGAGACAUGGAAGGGGUAAGGGGAGCAUGCUAAUCUAAGAUAAAUAGGCUAGUAAGUGUAUACUAGUGACAAUAAGAACAGCAAAACCAUAGGUAAAAGCACAUAAGAAACAAGAAGAAGUGCAAAACUAGUAAAAGCAUGUUGUUUUGCAAACUGUAUAUUAAAUAGGUAACACACCAGUUGCAGACAAAUAGAGCACAAAGAGUAAAGGUGCACAUAGCGAGCAAAGUGAGCAGAGAGUGUGAGCAGCAAUGUGAGAAUGGCAGUGUACAGCAAAGAGAGCAGCAGGCAAACCCAAGUAAGCAAUGUAGUAGAACCUUUGUAGUGUAGAAAUAAACAGCCAAGAUUACUCAAUCUUGGCUUUCAGCCGAUGGAGUAU